UGGUAGAAUGUGAUGAUGCUCAGGGUAAAUGUCAUGGCCAACGGCUCCAUUGUGUGCACGUAGCCUCCUCUAGUUGAUAUCAGGAGUAUUUUAGAGCCAGAUUCCCUUUAAAGAGGUAGAAACCCAUUUGGCACUCUUUGGGUAUCCCAGUGGUCCAGAUGGAGAGUCCUCCUGGUCCUAUCCUGACUAAAACCUUUGUAGAAUCUAUGUGCUUUGUGUUAUUUCUAUCUGCUUUGGCUCAGUUGUAGUCGAGGAGUUGCUGAAUGAAUUCAGUGGCGUCUCUGUGCACGGCAUCAUUGUUAUAAUGCUGUUAUCUACUGUUCUAAUCCAAGAUCCCAGAUCAUGCAGAUAGACCUGCUAGUUGUGGAGCUUCUUCUUGAUUUAUUUUGGGGAGCCUCUGGAGAGGAACUGAAGAGACGCAUGUUGCUGACCCUGGUUUAAUACAUCCAUACGUCAUUGUGGAGUGAAACCUUAAUUCAUGUGACAUCUUAUAGCUUUCCAAACUGAGUGUAAAGGAAUGAUGACUGAUGAUGAUGAACGAUUGGAGUCUUCAGUUACUCACUGGUUUCUACCACCUCCAUGUGGUUGUGAUGACAUGGAAGAGGAAUGUCCACGCUGGAACCCAGAAGGAGCUCACUCAACCUGUCAACUGUGGAA